AGUCAUUGUAGCAAUACAAGGCAGACGGCUCAGUAACGCGUAGUCAACCUACCCUAUGGACGGGGAUAACCUCGGGAAACUGAGAAUAAUACCAGAUAGAACAUUAUACCUGGAAUGGUUUAUGUUUCAAAUAAUUUAUUGCCGUAGGAUGGGACUGCGGCCUAUCAGUUUGUUGGUGAGGUAAUGGCCCACCAAGACUAUUACAGGUACGGGCUCUGAGAGGAGUAGCCCGGAGAUGGGUACUGAGACACGGACCCAGGCCCUAUGGGGCGCAGCAGGCGAGAAAACUUUGCAAUGUGCGAAAGCACGACAAGGUUAAUCCGAGUGGUUUCUGCUAAAGGAACCUUUUGUUAGUCAUAGAACCACUAAUGAAUAAGGGGUGGGCAAGUUCUGGUGUCAGCCGCCGCGGUAAAACCAGCACCUCAAGUGGUCAGGAUGAUUAUUGGGCCUAAAGCAUCCGUAGCCUGCUUUGUCAGUUUUCGGUUAAAUCCAUACGCUCAACGUAUGGGCUGCCGGGAAUACUGCAAAGCUAGGGAGUGGGAGAGGUAGACGGUACUCGGUAGGAAGGGGUAAAAUCCUUUGAUCUAUUGAUGACCACCUGUGGCGAAGGCGGUCUACCAGAACACGUCCGACGGUGAGGGAUGAAAGCUGGGGGAGCAAACCGGAUUAGAUACCCGGGUAGUCCCAGCUGUAAACUAUGCAAACUCGGUGAUGCAUUGGCUUGAUGCCAAUGCAGUGCCGCAGGGAAGCCGUUAAGUUUGCCGCCUGGGAAGUACGUACGCAAGUAUGAAACUUAAAGGAAUUGGCGGG
rnacentral:rRNA from 1 species